rnacentral:tRNA from 1 species
GGGUGCGUAGCUCAAUUGGUAGAGCCCGCGGCUGUUAACCGCGUAGUUCGGAGUUCGAAUCUCUGCGUGCCCG